GGCAGCAUGGUCCUGUAGAUAGGGCAUUUGACUUAGACACAAGAAACUUGGGUUUGGUUCCCAUUCUGCUA
rnacentral:tRNA from 1 species